AGAGUUUGAUCCUGGCUCAGGAUGAACGCUGGCGGCGUGCCUAAUACAUGCAAGUCGAGCGAACGGACGAGAAGCUUGCUUCUCUGAUGUUAGCGGCGGACGGGUGAGUAACACGUGGAUAACCUACCUAUAAGACUGGGAUAACUUCGGGAAACCGGAGCUAAUACCGGAUAAUAUUUUGAACCGCAUGGUUCAAAAGUGAAAGACGGUCUUGCUGUCACUUAUAGAUGGAUCCGCGCUGCAUUAGCUAGUUGGUAAGGUAACGGCUUACCAAGGCAACGAUGCAUAGCCGACCUGAGAGGGUGAUCGGCCACACUGGAACUGAGACACGGUCCAGACUCCUACGGGAGGCAGCAGUAGGGAAUCUUCCGCAAUGGGCGAAAGCCUGACGGAGCAACGCCGCGUGAGUGAUGAAGGUCUUCGGAUCGUAAAACUCUGUUAUUAGGGAAGAACAUAUGUGUAAGUAACUGUGCACAUCUUGACGGUACCUAAUCAGAAAGCCACGGCUAACUACGUGCCAGCAGCCGCGGUAAUACGUAGGUGGCAAGCGUUAUCCGGAAUUAUUGGGCGUAAAGCGCGCGUAGGCGGUUUUUUAAGUCUGAUGUGAAAGCCCACGGCUCAACCGUGGAGGGUCAUUGGAAACUGGAAAACUUGAGUGCAGAAGAGGAAAGUGGAAUUCCAUGUGUAGCGGUGAAAUGCGCAGAGAUAUGGAGGAACACCAGUGGCGAAGGCGACUUUCUGGUCUGUAACUGACGCUGAUGUGCGAAAGCGUGGGGAUCAAACAGGAUUAGAUACCCUGGUAGUCCACGCCGUAAACGAUGAGUGCUAAGUGUUAGGGGGUUUCCGCCCCUUAGUGCUGCAGCUAACGCAUUAAGCACUCCGCCUGGGGAGUACGACCGCAAGGUUGAAACUCAAAGGAAUUGACGGGGACCCGCACAAGCGGUGGAGCAUGUGGUUUAAUUCGAAGCAACGCGAAGAACCUUACCAAAUCUUGACAUCCUUUGACAACUCUAGAGAUAGAGCCUUCCCCUUCGGGGG
rnacentral:rRNA from 10 species